rnacentral:rRNA from 1 species
AUUGAACGCUGGCGGCAGGCCUAACACAUGCAAGUCGAGCGAGAGGCGGACGGGGGAGUAAUGUCUGGGAAACUGCCUGAUGGAGGGGGAUAACUACUGGAAAAGGUAGCUAAUACCGCAUACCAUCAGAUGUGACAAGAUGGGAUGUGCUAGGAGGUGGGGUAAUGGCUCACCUAGGCGACGAUCACUAGCUGGUCUCAGAGGAUGACCAGCCACACUGGAACGGAGACAGGGUCCAGACUCCUACGGGAGGCAGCAGUGGGGAAUAUUGCACAAUGGGCGCAAGCCUGAUGCAGCCAUGCCGCGUGUGUGAAGAAGGCCGUCGGGUGGUAAAGCACUUUCAGUGGGGAGGCGUUACCCGCAGAAGAAGCACCGGCUAACUCCGUGCCAGCAGCCGCGGUAAUAC